rnacentral:rRNA from 1 species
AAAAACAUGGCUCUUUGGUUUUAAUAAAUAAAGAGUCGAGCCUGCCCAGUGAGUAUUAAUUUUUUUAACGGCCGCGGUAUUUUGACUGUGCUAAGGUAGCAUAAUCAUUUGCUCUAUAAUUGAGGGCUAGCAUGAAUGGUUUGACGUGAGCAAAGCUGUCUCUAUAUUGAUUUUUUAGAAUUUGAUUUUUAGGUGAAGAAACCUAAAUUUUAUUAAAAGACAAGAAGACCCUAUCGAGCUUAAAAAAAGCAGAUAAAGCAUAGGUUAUUAACUGACAAACUUAUUUAUUUAAGAUUUUGGUUGGGGCGACUUAGGAACAAAUAAAGCUUCCUUCUCGUUAUUAAGUUUUACAGAUGUUGAUCCAAGCAUUUUGAUUAAAGAAAUCAGUUACCGUAGGGAUAACAGCAUAAUUCUCUUUGAGAGUUCCUAUCGAAAAGAGAGUUUGUGACCUCGAUGUUGGACUAAAAUUUCCUAAAGAUGUAGCAGUCUUUAAGGGUUGGUCUGUUCGACCAUUAAAAUUUUACGUGAU